rnacentral:rRNA from 1 species
UACAGAGAGUGCAAACGUUGUUCGGAAUUACUGGGCUUAAAGCGCACGUAGGCGGUGUCGUAAGUGUCUGGUGAAAUCCCACGGCUCACCCGUGGAACUGCCAGGCAUACUGCGAUGCUCGAGUGUGGUAGGGGAGAGCGGAACUCCUGGUGGAGCGGUGAAAUGCGUAGAUAUCUGGAGGAACACCGGUGGCGAAGGCGGCAUCCUGGACCGACACUGACACUGAGGAGCGAAAGCGUGGGGAGCGAACAGG